rnacentral:rRNA from 1 species
GUGCAGCAGGCGCGAAUAUUCGGCGAUGGGCGAAAGCCUGACCGAGCGACGCCGCGUGCGGGAUGAAGGCCUUCGGGUUGUAAACCGCUUUUCUAAGGGAAAAAAUUGUGUCUCACUGUUGUUUGGAGAAAAAAUAUAAGAAUAAGAUGGAUGGCCGUAGAGUUCCGUGACUUCCGCAGGUUUUCAUAAAAUGCCAAAUUACAGUGAGGCACAAAUUG